rnacentral:rRNA from 1 species
UACGGGAGGCAGCAGUAGGGAAUAUUGCUCAAUGGAUGGAAGUCUAAACCAGGCAUGCCGCGUGCAGGAAGAAGGCCUUAUGGGUUGUAAAUUUCUUUUGCCAGGGGUUAAAAGAACCGGGCGAGGGAAAUUGAAAGUACUUGGUGAAUAAGCCACGGCUAAGUACGUGCCAGCAGCCGCGGUAAUAGGUAGGUGGCAAGCGUUGUCCGGAUUUAUUGGGUUUAAAGGGUGGGUAGGCGGCUUUGUAAGUCAGUGGUGAAAUAUGGCAGCUUAACUGUCAAGGUGCCAUUGAUACUGCGAAGCUUGAGUACAGAUGAGGUAGGAGUUAUUGACGGUGUAGCGGUGAAAUGAGAAGAUAUCGUCAAGAACUGAGGUAAGACAGGCAGCUUACUAGACUGUAACUGACAGGCGCGCAAGAAAGUGUGAGGACCAAACAGGAUUACCUCCCGUGGUAGUACACACAGUAAACGUUUAUUACUCGUUGUGUGCGAGAUACAGUACGCGGCCAUGCGAAAGCG